AAGAGAGCUGUGGCCACAGCCACAUUGCUCAUGGUCCAUCCCCUGCCUUGUGCAGGGCAGAGCAGUGACCAGGAGGGAGCAGAAGGGCAGUGAAGCAUUCCAGAGUGAAGCUGGAAGAAAUGUGCAGAAGUGGCAGUGAGGGCAGUUCUGUGAUGGAUGUGGUGGUGCCUGGAGCUAAAAGCCCUGGGGAUGUUUGUUGUCUCAGCAGUGGGAGCUCCAGCAGGCAGGGCUCCCUCCCUGCAGCACCCAGGAGCAGAGGGCCUACAGUGCUAAAAGUGGCUUUAGGGGUCUUCUCACUACUGACUCUUCAGUGGAUCCAGGCAAAAAUGUGAACUCACUGCUGUUACCUCCUUGCUUUGGGACUGCAGGAGAGACUGGUUUGGGAGGUGACAUUUGAAUGAAAAGGACAAGUGAAGAGGUCAGCUCUGAACGUGGACACCAGAACAGCCCCCACCAUGGCUGGAUAUUUUAUUACAUGGACCUGUCAGACAAAUCCAGCACAGUGUGGAAGUACCUAGAAGCACCCUCUCAAGCCACUUCCCCAAACUUUGCUGCAUUGACACAUUUUGGCAACAGCCUCAGUCUAGGCUUGGAGCCCUGUGAAGCUCUCACCACACCAAGAACAUCAGCAUGCUUUAGGAUGUUGCCAAAGCCUAAACGAUGUGUGGAGACAAAUGCCUUUGAUAAGUACAAGGCAGCCCACACCCUCACAACUACAGUGAGAAAUCCCACCAGGAAAGCCAAGAAAUGCAAGGGCGAAGAAAAAACAGAUGAGGAAAAUCAGGAAAAGGAGAAGAAUCAGACACCAGCUGUGUGUGAUCUUCCCCAGCCUGAGGAAGUCAUUGCAAGUCUCCACAUGUCCCAUUGCAGGGAGAGCGCUGAGAGGAGAUGAAGGAAGUGUGAUGUGAAGGGAGGCAAACAGAGUGGUGGGUGAUAAGAAACAACUGGUGCACAGGAACAAAAAAA